CUUGGUGUAAUUCUAUUUUUUCUUUCUGCCAAGCUGGUAAUAUCAAUAGAAGAGCUGUAGAAACAGAGAAAUAUUUCUGCCACUGCUGAUGAGUUUAAUGCUGUGUCUUCCAGUCCUAGAGAUGUACAGCAAACUGAGGGUCCAGAUGAAAAGCAAAAGGUCUAAUUGAAGACAGAUUCAACACACAAGUGGAAGUAGAAAAGAAGAUGAUGCAGCCUGCCCCCAUCACAGCCCAGGAUAUCAGAGAACAGGAAAGCCAUCAUGAAUGCCUGAAACUUACUGAAGCCCAAAGAGAAGGCUCCAUGCAUACCAGGGAAUGGGCCAUGAUUGCGUUAGGUGCUCUCAUAGACUUCACUGUCAUACAUCUAUUGUUGUACCCAAACUCCGGACCCCACAAAAUUCUACCAAGAGACCAAAUCUGAUGCAAAAACAAAAGAGCCUUUAUUGUGAGUUAACUGGGGCCUCUCCCUCCAUUUGAGGCUGAAACAAAGCAGGAGAAAUCCUGAGCAGCAUGGGGUGAGGGCUUUAACAGUGGCUAGACAAAAGGGGCUUGGGGUACUUCAAAACUGCAUAGUUACAGACUUGGGAUUGGCUCAAGCCCUAGUUUGGGUAUCUGGACUGAGCUAGCUGGCUAUUUUGCUACUAGGUAUUGCAACAUUUUAGUCUCAGCAGAACAACAUCUGGAGUUGUUUGUUCCUUCCUGAUUAGCCUUUCCUUGUUGGUGGUAGUUGUUCAUGGUUCUCUCUGUAACUAGGGUUAAGGUCAGGGGCAGUGGGGGGUUGGGGGUCAGGCAUCCUGCUCAGGUCUUUUUGCUAUGGCUGUAGUUCUACAGAGGCUGUCACUUUUAGCAUCUGACUCAGACACCUCUCUGAACUUCUCUGUUUACAGGAUUCUCUUUGUGGUGCCAGCUCAAAGGCAGUUUGCAAUAGGUUUCAUUAAUUUCCUAGGAAGCGUUUGACUGCACACCCAGCAAUUGGUCAUAGCUGUUCUUUGUGGUGGAAGGGACUGGGUGGGUUGACCCAGUAGGCCUGCAAUAACACACCCCACCCCUAAGGAUGGGAGAGGUGUCUACAAGAACUCAAUUGUCACACUUAUUAUCCUUCUGAUUUAUGUGUUAACUGUUCCUCUUGUGAUGAGGGCUGGCUCAGGGCCAGGCUGGUGGCUCUCACUUAUUCACUUCAGGUGCUCCUUGCCAUUGGUGGUCACUGACCAGAGCUCUGUGUCCUCUUCCUCCUUAAGCUCUCCUGGCCAGUCUCUACAAUGUGUGUAACCUUGUGUUGAUGUCACAAAGGGCCCUUUCAGAGUCAGAGGCUGAAAGGAGAUAAGGGGAGGAGAGAGCAGCAUUUUCCCAGAGUCCUCUGGGGUGUCCCAUGUGCACUGCAUUGGUAGGACAGAUGGGCUGGGUCAGCAGCUGGCAGGGGGCUCCAUCUCCAUGGAGCAACCCUACCGUGGUCAUCUCAUUCUGUACUCCAGGAGCUGAGUUACCUUACCCAUUUUCCACAUUGGCCUCAGUUUCCCACCUUCAUGAACUAUGGUGAUAUUUUAUUUGUAUUAAAAUGUUAUUUGUGGGGCUGGAGAGAUGGCUCAGGGGUUAAGAGCACUGACUGCUCUUCCAGAGGUCCUGAGUUCAAUUCCCAGCAACCACAUGGUGGCUCACAACCAUCUGUAAUGGGAUCUGGUGCCCUCUUCUGGCCUGCGGUCAUACAU